AGAACCCGAUACAGCGAACCUGCUGAUUUGGGAUUCACAUGAUCAGCAUUAUGACUACUCUGUAAUCACGGCAAGACCAAGUUGUGGCCCUUGUGGUGGAUGAGAAGCUAAUAAUACUCAUAAAGCCAUGUAUUUACAGAAUUAAUUCACCGGAAGAUGAGCCUCCGCUUUACUGCUUUACUUGUAAUACUAAUUUCCGUGUUCUCUACUCAUUUGUAGUCACAGUCAGGUCCAAGAUUUGAGGCAGGGAAGGUUCAGGUGGGGUUAAACAUGAGAAAACCAGAACCGCAAGUACAAUAUAUCCAAACUUCACCAAGCACUGGACAAGCAAUAGAGAGCAUCUGCAUCUGGAUUUAUAUAGAAACAAUGAAACAUACGUGGCACGUACAGCAACCCUGGGCCACCAUACCCAUGGUAAAACUAGAAAUGUGGCAAGAGGGUCACAUCCACAAAACUGGAUAGAUGCCAGGGGCAAUGGAAUGAGGUCUAUUCAUUGAAGGAAGAGCUGACAGAAGAGUUUGUGGGACACUUGUGAUUUCAACUCCUCGACUUCACAAAACAACAUGAAGGUCCGACCCCUGGAAGCUUCUGCUGCUGAAUAACGUGGCAGGCCCUAUAUCAUGUAUAGUUAAUUCAGGGAGAUUUCUCAAAAUUCUUCUCAUCCAUUGAAUAAUGCAUUGUAAAGAGCCAGCACAGCUGCUGUAAUUUUCUAGUGUUGGCAUAAUUAAUACUGAACGCAAGGGAGUUGAAGCUACUAUCCUGCAUACUCUACAGCCAACUCUCUCUUUAGUGAACCCUAAUGUGUGCGACAACACCCACCAAUGCUGAAUGUAUGCGGGAGCUCUCGUUGGAGAUUAUAAGGCACUCGUGUGCUAAGAUAUUAUACAUACCUUGUUGUUUGGAGGCAUUUAGGUUUAACCCCAGUACUGUGCUUCUCUUAUGAACCAGACACCUCAUUGACUGAGCACUUACUUAGUUGUGUUGUUUGACUUACUGU